rnacentral:rRNA from 1 species
ACGAACGCUGGCGGCAUGCCUAACACAUGCAAGUCGAACGAGACCUUCGGGUCUAGUGGCGCACGGGUGCGUAACGCGUGGGAACCUGCCCUUAGGUUCGGAAUAACUCCCCGAAAGGGGUGCUAAUACCGGAUAAUGUCUUCGGACCAAAGAUUUAUCGCCUUUGGAUGGGCCCGCGUUGGAUUAGCUAGUUGGUAGGGUAAAAGCCUACCAAGGCGACGAUCCAUAGCUGGUCUGAGAGGAUGAUCAGCCACACUGGGACUGAGACACGGCCCAGACUCCUACGGGAGGCGGCAGUGGGGAAUAUUGGACAAUGGGCGAAAGCCUGAUCCAGCAAUGCCGCGUGAGUGAUGAAGGCCUUAGGGUUGUAAAGCUCUUUUACCCGGGAUGAUAAUGACAGUACCGGGAGAAUAAGCUCCGGCUAACUCCGUG